rnacentral:snoRNA from 1 species
AGCGCAACAUCCCUUGGGCCGGUGGCAAACGUUCGGUGCCACGCGAGUUGCCCCUGUCCGGUUGUGCGAGAUAC